rnacentral:rRNA from 1 species
UACGUAGGGGGCAAGCGUUGUCCGGAAUUAUUGGGCGUAAAGGGCUCGUAGGCGGUUUGUCGCGUCGGGAGUGAAAACCAGGUGCUUAACACCUGGCUUGCUUUCGAUACGGGCAGACUAGAGGUAUUCAGGGGAGAACGGAAUUCCUGGUGUAGCGGUGAAAUGCGCAGAUAUCAGGAGGAACACCGGUGGCGAAGGCGGUUCUCUGGGAAUGACCUGACGCUGAGGAGCGAAAGUGUGGGGAGCGAACAGG